GGCUCCGGUGGCCUAAUGGUUAAAGCGUUCACCUCAGAUGCGAGAGGUCGUGGGUUCUAUCCCCGGUCGAGCCA